rnacentral:tRNA from 1 species
GGCUUCAGAGCUCAGUUGGUUAGAGCAUCACACCAGCAUUGGAAGGUAGCUGGUUCAAACCCUGUUGAAGUCC